UGCUCUUUUUUUUUCAGGCGUUUUUACAUGCGCUGCGCUUAUCCAUAUCUCCUCCCGUCUGAUUGGCGUUAUGCGGCGGCGGCGGCUCGCACUGCUGCUGGAGGAUUACAUCUGCCUCCGAGGGAAGUAGCUCGCUCGGCAGCAGCCUCCGUUGGCUGCGGGUCAUCUUAGCACCGGACAACGGCGGCCUGACUGACCAGGUAUCUUUCAAGAUCAGAUCUUGUACAAGGCACUUAACUCUCAGUUUCUGCCGGUUUCUAGGUGGCUGGAAUUAGGCAACCACUGCCUUCCGCGUCUCCAACAACAGAGUGCCAUCCAUGAGAACAAUGAAACCCAGUUCUUACUGCUUGAUGUAAAAGUCUACUCCAAGUUCUCCAACCGCAAGCAGCUUUGGAGUCCACAAAUCACUGGUUGUAUAUUUGUUUGACCGAGGAGCAGCUCCAUUAUACUCGACCCUCCAAGUGCAUGUGGUGUUAUCUGAAGCUUGCUGGAAGAUAUACCACUUUUUUCUUCUCCAGUUUUUAGCAUUUAAACCUUUUUGAAGAUGUAGAAGUAGUUGCAUAGUCCAGUUUGCUUAGUCGGUGUACAUGUUUGUAUAAAGAUAAAAAUUUCUGUACAUGAUGUACCAAUGUGACGAGUAUCUUUAGUAACCAUGGAAGAAGCAGAGUGACUUUUGUCUUA